AGAGUUUGAUCCUGGCUCAGAAUCAACGCUGGCGGCGUGCCUAACACAUGCAAGUCGAACGAGAAAGUGGAGCAAUCCAUGAGUAAAGUGGCGCACGGGUGAGUAACACGUGACUAACCUACCCUUGAGUGGGGAAUAACUUCGGGAAACCGAGGCUAAUACCGCAUAACACCUACGGGUCAAAGGAGCAAUUCGCUUAAGGAGGGGGUCGCGGCAGAUUAGUUAGUUGGCGGGGUAAUGGCCCACCAAGACGGUGAUCUGUAUCCGGCCUGAGAGGGCGCACGGACACACUGGAACUGAAACACGGUCCAGACUCCUACGGGAGGCAGCAGUGGGGAAUUUUGCGCAAUGGGGGAAACCCUGACGCAGCAACGCCGCGUGGAGGAUGAAGUCCCUUGGGACGUAAACUCCUUUCGAUCGG
rnacentral:rRNA from 1 species